GCGCGAUCUGAAAGUAAAGGAGGAGAGUGGUGGUGGGGAGAAGAAAUGAUUAGCUAGCGAUCGUUCAGCAGUGAAUUUAUUGCACUCUGAGGUGCCGUGAAACUGCUGGGCCCUGCAAGCGUGCUGCCAAGAUGGAUUCAAGAAUACAUUAUAGAAACUGAGCCCUGCCCAAAUGUGCCGCUUCAGGAAACAGCACUUAUUCAAGCCUGUAACAAAACCUUCAUUCAGAGCCCCAUUUUAUAGUAGCGAGAACGAGAGAAGCACCACAUUCCAAGUGUGCACAGCCUCUUGGAUAUGACUGGUGGUGGGCAAGCCAACAAAAGCUUCAGGCUGACUCCUGCUGACUGCCUGCCUUGGCAUCCAUCAAUGAGGACAAGGAAAUGAAGAGCCAAGCCAGUGUGAAACUAUUUGGGCAUCACUUCUUUAUGGUGUCAAUUCUGGAAGUAACAUCCUGAAUGGUGGCCUCUGUGACAAUUGAUUGAAGUGCUUUUGUGCGUGGACUCAAGAUCAGAGUAGAAGUAUCAAAGUUCUGAAGAAAGACUGCUCUCCUGGAAUUUCUGGCGUGACAGAAAGCAGGAAGCUUCAGAAAACAUUUUAAGACAACUUGUUACUGCAAAGUUUCCACUCCAGCUUGGCAGACCUCAGAAUAUUUAGAUAAACAUCCCAGUUGGACCUCUGACCUUUUUAAGGUCUGUCUGUUGCUAUUUUGGAAAACACAUAAUUGAGAUUUGCUUUAAAAAUAAUCAGAUUGAUUUUAAUUCUAAAUUUGGUUGAAAUCUUGUGCUGGUUUCAUUCUAAAUGUGGUUGAAACCUUGUGCCCUGGUGCUGAUAACACUUUUACCAUUUUGAUCAGAGUGAUAUUUUGUAAGUUAAGAAAAUUGCUGAUAUUACCUGCCAUGAAUAUACUAUGAACAUAAAAAUUAAAUAUUAGACAGGAGAACAUUACACACUGCAACACAACACAUUAAAUAAGUGCUGUAUUGGUAUCUUGUAGAUUUCAGAAUCUUUGGAAAUCCACAUGAGACUUUCCUGCCUUUUGUAUUUAAUUCAGAAUCCAGUAAUAAAUUUUUUGCUUUCAACUAUAUACUAUACCAAAACAUUUUUCAUUAACAAUUACAAAAGUCUUCUGGGGGAGCACAUCCCCAGAUCCUUUUUGAAAUGCUUGACAUGUUAACUAUGUACUGUCUUUCUGGAGAUUCUCUAAAACUGUGGAAUAGCAUAACAGUCUUUGGGGCAGAGACUCUCAUUUGUGACAUGUUUUGUAGUUUGCCUAGCAAAAUGGGGCCUACCUGGUUGUGACUACGCCAAUAUGUUAAAUAAUAACAACAUUCAAAAUAUUAUAUCACCAUAGCUGAGUUACAACUGAUGAAAUAAUUACCAGCAAAUAAUUUAGACAAUGCAUUUGGCCAUAUCUUUGGCUUGUUGAAUGUUC